UACGUAGGGGGCUAGCGUUGUCCGGAUUUAUUGGGCGUAAAGAGCGUGUAGGCGGCCAAGCAGGUCCGUUGUGAAAACUGGAGGCUUAACCUCCAGACGUCGACGGAAACCGCGUGGCUAGAGUCCGGAAGAGGAGAGUGGAAUUCCUGGUGUAGCGGUGAAAUGCGCAGAUAUCAGGAAGAACACCCGUGGCGAAGGCGGCUCUCUGGGACGGUACUGACGCUGAGACGCGAAAGCGUGGGGAGCGAACAGG
rnacentral:rRNA from 1 species